CUCGGGAAACUGAGAGUAAACCCGGAUAGGGGAUUGAUACUGGAAUGUGCUUUCCCUGAAAAGCAAUGCCAUAAGAUAGGUCGGCGGCUGAUUAGGUUGUUGGUGAGGUAAUGGCUCACCAAGCCAGAGAUCAGUAGGGGGGAUGAGAGUCCUAGCCUCGAGAAGGACACUGAGAUAAGGGUCCUAGCCCUAAGGGGUGCAGCAGUCACGAAACCUUUACAAUGCACGAAAGUGUGAUAAGGGAAUCCCAAGUGCUUACCUUCGGGUAGGCUUUUGUUAAGUUUAAAUCUCUUGACGAAUAAGUGGUGGGUAAGACCGGUGCCAGCCGCCGCGGUAACACCGGCGCCACGAGUGGUGAUCAUGUUUAUUGGGUCUAAAGCGUCUGUAGCCUGUUUGAACAGUCUCUUGUGAAACUGUUGAGCUUAACUUAACAACUUGCAAGAGAUACUAUCGGACUUGAGACCGGGAGGAGAUAAAGGAACUCUUUGGGUAGCGGUAAAAUGUGUUAAUCCUUAGAGGACCACCAAUGGCGAAGGCAUUUAUCUAGAACGGUUCUGACGGUGAGAGACGAAAGCUAGGGUAGCGAUCGGGAUUAGAUACCCCAGUAGUCCUAGCUGUAAACGCUGCCAACUGUGUGUUGCAUGUUCUCCGUGAGCAUGCAGUGCCGAAGCGAAGGCGUUAAGUUGGCCACCUGGGAAGUACGGCCGCAAGACUGAAACUUAAAGGAAUUGGCGGGGGCGCGCUACAAGGGGUGCGGCGUGCGGUUUAAUUUAAUUACACACAGAAAAUCUCACCAGCAGCGACGGCAGGAUGAAGGUCAGAUUGAAGGUUUUACCUGACAAGCCGAGAGAUGCUGCAUGGCCGCCGUCAGUUCGUGCCGUAAUGUGUCCUGUUAAGUCAGUUAACGAACAAGACCCAUGUCUACAGUUGCUAGCGAGUCCUUUUGGAUGAUCGAGCACACUGUGGAGACUGCCUUGGUAACGAGGAGGAAGGGGUGGGCAACGGUAGGUCUGUAUGGCUCGAAUCUGCUGGGCUACACGCGCGCAACAAUGGUAAGGACAAUGGGAUACAACUCCGAAAGGAGAAGUCAACCCUCUAAACCUUAUCUAAGUUCGGAUUGAGGGCUGUAAUUCGCUCUCAUGACGCCGGAAUCCCUAGUAAUCGGGUGUCAAUAGCGCCCGGUGAAUACGUCAACGUGCCUUGCACACACUGCCCGUCAUCCCAGCCGAGCAGGGUUCAGGUGAGGAUUAGGUCUUUGCUUAAUUCGAACCUGAGCUCAGCAAGGAGGGGCAAGUCGUCACAAGGUA
rnacentral:rRNA from 1 species